rnacentral:rRNA from 1 species
GAUGAACGCUGGCGGCGUGCCUAAUACAUGCAAGUCGAGCGAACAGACGAGGAGCUUGCUCCUCUGACGUUAGCGGCGGACGGGUGAGUAACACGUGGAUAACCUACCUAUAAGACUGGGAUAACUUCGGGAAACCGGAGCUAAUACCGGAUAAUAUAUUGAACCGCAUGGUUCAAUAGUGAAAGACGGUUUUGCUGUCACUUAUAGAUGGAUCCGCGCCGCAUUAGCUAGUUGGUAAGGUAACGGCUUACCAAGGCGACGAUGCGUAGCCGACCUGAGAGGGUGAUCGGCCACACUGGAACUGAGACACGGUCCAGACUCCUACGGGAGGCAGCAGUAGGGAAUCUUCCGCAAUGGGCGAAAGCCUGACGGAGCAACGCCGCGUGAGUGAUGAGGGUCUUCGGAUCGUAAAACUCUGUUAUUAGGGAAGAACAAAUGUGUAAGUAACUAUGCACGUCUUGACGGUACCUAAGCAGAAAGCCACGGCUAACUACGU